GACCCCAUCGAUUAAGGGAUAAAUCGGCUCUUUCCUAAAGAGCAGCUACUGGUUCGAGUCCAGUUGGGGUCGCCA
rnacentral:tRNA from 1 species